rnacentral:rRNA from 1 species
GAUGAACGCUGGCGGCGUGCCUAAUACAUGCAAGUCGAGCGAACGGACGAGAAGCUUGCUUCUCUGAUGUUAGCGGCGGACGGGUGAGUAACACGUGGAUAACCUACCUAUAAGACUGGGAUAACUUCGGGAAACCGGAGCUAAUACCGGAUAAUAUUUUGAACCGCAUGGUUCAAAAGUGAAAGACGGUCUUGCUGUCACUUAUAGAUGGAUCCGCGCUGCAUUAGCUAGUUGGUAAGGUAACGGCUUACCAAGGCAACGAUGCAUAGCCGACCUGAGAGGGUGAUCGGCCACACUGGAACUGAGACACGGCCCAGACUCCUACGGGAGGCAGCAGUAGGGAAUCUUCCGCAAUGGGCGAAAGCCUGACGGAGCAACGCCGCGUGAGUGAUGAAGGUCUUCGGAUCGUAAAACUCUGUUAUUAGGGAAGAACAUAUGUGUAAGUAACUGUGCACAUCUUGACGGUACCUAAUCAGAAGGCCACGGCUAACUACGU